AUGGCCUUUGCAAAUCUGUGGAAAGUGCUCAUCAGUGACAGCCUGGACCCUUGCUACCGGAGGAUCUUGCAAGAUGGAGGGCUGCAGGUGGUGGAGAAGCAGAUCCUUAGCAAAGACGAGCUGAUAGCCGAGCUGCAGUUCAUGGGAACAGAGCUGAACGGAAAGAUCCUGGGAAUUCUGGGCCAGGGCGGGAUUGGGAGGUUGGUGGCUACCCAGAUGCAGUCCUUUGGGAUGAAGACGAUAGGGUAUGACCCCAUCAUUUCCCCAGAGGUCUCGGCCUCCUUUGGUGUUCAGCAGCUGCCCCUGGAGGAGAUCUGGCCUGUGAUUUCAUCACUGUGCAGACUCCUCUCCUGCCCUCCACCACAGGCUUAUUGAACAACAGCACCUUUGUCCAGUGCAAGAAGUGGGUAAGUGUGGUGAACUGCGCCCGCGGAGGGAUCGUGGACGAUGGCUCCCUGCUCCCGGCCCUGCAGUCGGGCCAGUGUUCCGGGGCUGCGCUGGACGUGUUUACGGAAGAGCCACCAUGGGACCGAACCUUGGUGGACCAUGAGAAUGUCAUCAGCUGUCCCCACCUGGGCGCCGCACCAAGGAGGUGCAGAGCCGCUGUGGGGAGGAAAUUUUUGUUCGGUUUGUGGACAUGGUGAAGGGGAAAUCUCUCACAGGGGUUGUAAAUGCCCAGGCCCCUACCAGCGCCUUCUCUCCACACAUCAAGCCUUGGAUUGGUCUGGCAGAAGCUCUGGGGACACUGGUGCGAGCCUGGGCUGGGUCUCCCAAAGGGACCAUCCAGGUGAUAACACCAGGAACAUCCCUGAAGAAUGCUGGGAACUGCCUAAGCCCUGCAGUCAUCGUCGGCCUCUUGAAGGAGGCUUCCAAGCAGACGGAUGUAAACUUGGUGAACGCCAAGCUGCUGGUGAAAGAGGCUGGCCUCAGUGUCACCACCUCCCACAGCCCGGCAGCACCAGGGGAGCAGGGCUUCGGGGAAUGUCUCCUGGCCAUGGCCCUAUCAGGCGCCCCUUACCAGGCUGCGGGUUUGGUCCAGGGCACCACACCUAUGCUGCAGGGGCUCAAUGGAGCCGUCUUCAGGCCGGAAGUGCCUCUCUGCAGGGGCCUGCUUCUGCUCCUAUUCAAGACUCAGGCUUCCGACACUGCAAUGCUGCCUAUCACGAUUGGCCUCCUGGCAGAGGCAGGCGUGCGGCUGCUUUCCUACCAGACUUCACUGGUGUCAGACGGGGAGACCUGGCACAUCAUGAGCAACUCCUCCUUGCUGCCCAGCCUGGAAGCAUGGAAGCAGCAUGUGACCGAGGCCUUCCAGUUCCACUUCUAACCUUGGGGCUCACGGUCCCCGCCUCUGGGGCUUUUCUGAAGAAACCUACCCACUGUGAUCAACAGGGAGAGAAGAUCCACAUUCUUGGGCUGAACACAGGCCUCUGACACUGCUUACACGGCGCUUGUCUGACCCUGUAGUACAGCAAUAACCAUCUAAUAAAGAC